rnacentral:lncRNA from 1 species
AACUCUCAAAGAUCUUAAGAUGCAAAGGGGUGUUGGGAAGAGGAAACAUCCUUCAGAUACUAAUCCUCUAUAAUGUGCAGAAGAGAUCAUCUUUCUUCCAGAGGAGAUCUUCAGGGAGAAUUUCUCAGCAUGUUUUUAUUUUUCAUCUAAGAGUGGCCAGACACUGUUUAAGCAGUAAAGGACCAUCAACAGGACACUACAUACUUUUCACCUUACUCUGUGUAUGAAGUGCAGAAAUUGCAUGCCUUCUAAAUGCCACACAGUUUUUGGUAAAAUGAAGACUGCAUGGUGCACAGAAACAAAUGAAGUACAUUUCCAUGAGAACUGGACACAAAUACCUGUAGUCUUUUACAAAAAUUACCGUGCUACAAGCCUACCCCAAGUACUUCUACUCGCAGUUGUGCAAUGUCCUCUCCUAGAAGAUGGUGCAUUCCAGCUGCUCUGUCACUGUAUGCUAACAUAG